UACGGGGGGGGCAAGCGUUGUUCGGAAUUACUGGGCGUAAAGGGCUCGUAGGCGGCCAACUAAGUCAGACGUGAAAUCCCUCGGCUUAACCGGGGAACUGCAUCUGAUACUGGAUGGCUUGAGUUCGGGAGAGGGAUGCGGAAUUCCAGGUGUAGCGGUGAAAUGCGUAGAUAUCUGGAGGAACACCGGUGGCGAAGGCGGCAUCCUGGACCGACACUGACGCUGAGACGCGAAAGCGUGGGGAGCGAACAGG
rnacentral:rRNA from 1 species